AUUGAACGCUGGCGGCAGGCCUAACACAUGCAAGUCGAACGAGUGGCGGACGGGUGAGUAAUGUCUGGGAAACUGCCUGAUGGAGGGGGAUAACUAAUGGACACGGUAGCCACUACCGCAUACCAUCGGAUGUGCCCAGGUGGGAUUAGCUAGGAGGUGGGGUAACGGCUCACCUAGGCGACGAUCCCUAGCUGGUCUGAGAGGAUGACCAGCCAAACUGGAACUGAGACACGGUCCAGACUCCUACGGGAGGCAGCAGUGGGGAAUAUUGGACAAUGGGCGAAAGCCUGAUCCAGCCAUGCCGCGUGUAUGAAGAAGGCCUUCGGGUUGUAAAGUACUUUAAGCGGGGAGGCGUUACCCGCAGAAGAAGCACCGGCUAACUCCGUGCCAGCAGCCGCGGUAAUAC
rnacentral:rRNA from 1 species